CAAGAAAUAGUUUAUUUAAAAUAUUAACUUUGGGAGUUAGUGAUAAAGAGACUUCUUUUUUCUUGA
rnacentral:tRNA from 1 species